rnacentral:lncRNA from 1 species
CAAAACUGCCCAGAAAGGGGUUUUUAGGCAGUUUUGAGCCUUCUAGUUGCUGUUUUGAGUUUUAGGUUUGUUUAAAUGUUUUAACCUUUACUUUUGCAUUCUUUGAGUCUAGUUUAGUGUUUUAAACUUUCUUUUUGAGUUUUUAAGUCAGUUUCCAAGUGUUUAGCAAUCCCUCCUAAUCCCCGGUUUAGAACGAUCCCUACUUACAUCUUUGCUACAAUUUGACAAAAAGAGGGUUUAAUUUGUGUGCUUAAUAUAUUUCGCAUCACCCCCAUCAACCCUAAACCUUUCCCUACCCUUCCCCAUCCAUUCUACACCCUAAAUACUACCCAAAACCUGUUCUAAACUUCUCUGCCGCAGCAAGGAGGAAAAGGAAAUCAUUGAUGAUCUUGCUGCCAAGUUGGAGCCUUCUAGGUGUUUUCUUUCUUUGGGUUU